CAGCAGCCGGCAGCGAGCCUCAGCAGUGAACGAUGGCCAUGAGGGUGGUGGCACAUAGAUGUCCCCCUGAGCCACCACGGUAGCAGCCUGGAGCCUUCCGUGGCCCCGUGCACCAAGGACACGUGCUUUUGGCAGAGGACCACGCUGUCUGGUGGAGAUGACCAGCCCUGCCCGGAGGAUGGAGCCCCAGCGGAGACACG